GUGGAAAACAACGUUGACAGUGAUGGUGACUUUGAGUUUAUAUUUGGCGAACCAAUCGACAGUAAUGACAUCGAUAAGGAACUUCAAAUUUGUGUUCCCAAAUCAACUAAGUAUAAGAACGACUGGGCUGUUGCAGUGUUUUCCGGAUGCCAAGAGGAGAGACGUCAAAGAGCUAUGAAAUACAACUUGGAUCUUCCGAAGCUGUACUUGGCGGAAUGUAUAUGUGGAUGAACAAAUGAUUUGCGAAAUGACGGGUCACAAAAGUGAAGCUGUCCAGUCAUACAAACAUACUUCAGAUGUGCAGAAGUCGACUUUGUCUGAUAUCCUUACCUCAGCGCCAAAACGUUUGAUGAGUGAAAUCAAAACUAUGACAGCUACGGAUACAGAAAAGACGACUGCCGAUUCAGGAAACGACGUUGGAUCCACGAAAUCGACGACGAAGACGACAGUCGUCUUCAAUUUCAAUAUUUCUUAAAAUGUCAUUGAAAGAAAUAAAACCACUGUCUCUGCUUGA